UACGUAGGGUGCAAGCGUUAAUCGGAAUUAUUGGGCGUAAAGGGCUCGUAGGCGGUUCGUCACGUCGGGAGUGAAAACUCGGAGCUUAACUCCGAGCCUGCUUCCGAUACGGGCAGACUAGAGGUAGGCAGGGGAGAAUGGAAUUCCUGGUGUAGCGGUGAAAUGCGCAGAUAUCAGGAGGAACACCAGUGGCGAAGGCGGGUCUCUGGGCAACAACUGACGCUGAGGAGCGAAAGCGUGGGGAGCGAACAGG
rnacentral:rRNA from 1 species